rnacentral:tRNA from 1 species
UACAUUUUGGUGUAUAGCGCACAAUAAUUUUUGGCAUUUUAGGUGAUAGUUCGAUUCUAUUAAAUGUAA